GUUGAAAGACUAAUUGAUUAUUAGAAAACCCUUGUGCAAUUAUGUUAGCACAUGAACAAAAGUGUGAGUUUUCAUGGAAAACAUGAAAUUUCUUGGGUGACCCCAAGCUUUAUAGUGUAAAUCCUAUUGGCUACGUUGCCUCCUAGUUUGUGAAAGGUCACCUAGUAUUUAUUCUCUUGAAAAUAGGUGUUUAACUCCAAUAUAACAUAAAUAUGAAAGGCACAAACUGGAGUUGGUUCCAUACAGUCAGUAAAUAGAGACACUGCUACAACUGUUAGUAUGGAGCACCUGAUUGGCUCUUCCAGGGACACAUGGAGGACUUUGAUGUCUGAUGUUUCAGCACUAACUUUAAUUACAUGGUCAUCUGCCAGACUCUCACUCUACAAUCUGUGAUCAUCGCUCCAUUUGCCUGCUUUACACUAAAGAUCAGACAGAAGGCUACAAAGCUAACCAGCAUGAGACAGUUUAGAAAGUUAAAGCUGCAGUAGGCAGAGAUGUCAGAGAUCUCAUCUGCUCUGGGUGAAAGCCCCAUGAUUGGCUAAAAUCUCCUAUCACUGUCUAAAGCUUGUAAACAGGAGGAGGUGAAGGUGUCUGCAGAUGUCAAGGGUUGGUAUAGGAUUUUUGUCCAGUCAGAAACUACUGUUGACCCCAGCUUUAAUUUGCUGAAAAUUUCACUUACAUUUAUUACUUGACACAAAUUUGGUGCACAAAUCACAGCAGCCUGCAACACACUGACAAAAGCUGUCUUACAUGGAAGUAAAUUAUUACACACCUUUUCAGAAACAUACGUUUUAUGUGCAUGGUUUGUUGUGGCCUUACAAAGAUCACAUUGUUGUGACGGAUAAACGUACAGCAAAGAAUAGGAUCAUUAACUCUUUAGAGAAUCCUGUUUGUCCAUAACAACUUCAAUUCUUGUCCCCACAUGGAACAAUUGAGACAACCUGCCCAAGCUUUUUACCCAAGCGAAAUACCAUGAAGUAUCUUCUGCUGCACAGAGGAUUGUGUGCCAGAAACGCAUGCUAAUUUGCAUAAUGCAAAAUGCAAUCAUGCAGAUCCUGGUAUUUUUUGCAUAGUGCAUUGGACACAUUAUGUACUAGGACAUACUAAAUCUUCUUCUGGAACACUAUACUGUAUGGAUGUAUGGGCAUUAGAAUGCACUCCACUUAAAAUGAGCAAAUAUUUCCUUUAGUCCCGAGCAGCAACUUCCAGGGCUGACAAAUUAACCUGACAUUAGAGUGCAGUUUCUCAUACGUCCACUUGAGACUGGCUUCAAAAGCAAGUCAAUCCCCUUAGACCCUCAUGUUAAAAUGUCUAAGUUUACAGCAAAAAUAAAAAUGUUUACAGGAAAUGAUUUUGAUUUCUAUAGCUAAUUCCCCUUUUGUGGAAACUGUAUCACCCAUUUGAAUGCAUUAAAGCUUAAAGUUAUGUAUUAUUAGGGUGUGACUGCUUUGAGUGGCAGGGGUGUACUGUACUCGGAAAGUCUAUGGUCCAGACAUUUGCAUGGCCUUCAUCAGCUCCAACCAGAAGUUAGGAAGUGUCAAACACUGCCAACACCGUGACAGCCAGAUCCACCAUACUGAGCUUUACAACUGCACUGAAUGUUCAUCUAUCUUUAUAGACAGUCUAUGCUUGAACCUCACAGCAAGAUGCUGGUAAAAGUGUCUAUGUUUUGUCCAGUAUUGCAGUGAACUCUGGGCAUCAACAAUCUCUCAACUGUACUGUACUUAGUGUCAAUAUAUCACAUCACACCAAAGAUCUGGAGUCACCUCUGUUUCUGUUCCAGAGAGGUUUGGAUAGUCAGGAAAAAAUGAUUUGAGUGAAAUUCAAUACAAAUAUGGUGACUGAUUAAGUUCUAUUCUACUGCCUCAAACUGAACUCAUCAAUGGGCUAUUUUUGGCGGUAGUUUGUUUCUAGGUUGUUUGUUGUGUUACCAGCAUUCUUGGUUUUAGUUCCAGAGUUGCUACAACUCAUCAAAGUCAAACCUGUCUUUCAUGAGUAUCUCAGAGAGGUGUUUACUUUAUGCUGGGCGGUGUACCAACAUGGACUGAACAGAGGGAAAAUGAAUGGAGAGUGUCAGAUGGAAAAAGCACUGAGCUACUUCCACCGUCAGGUCUGAGUGGACAUUCAGGUCUGAGGGCAGAAAUGAUUCAGUUCUGCAGUCGGACGAUUAGUUUCAGCUUCUUGCUGUCAUCCAUCUCAUCUAUCUCUCAUUUAUUCUGCACACAUCCAUCUACUAAAUGACUCUGCCUUCCCUGAGCUUCCAUCUGUCUGUGAUCUGUCCAUCCAUCCAUGUUCUGCAAGUCAUGCAGCAGCAGUUUUCACUUACUUUGUAGGUAGUACUGGAGUAACUAUGACUUUAUAUCUGAAACAUGAUCUUACAUAAGGCUACUUUUGUGAAAUUAUUUUGCCAACAAAUAUAAAUUAACUGUAACUUGUUAACAGAGGAAACCAGAUACAAAUACAUGCCAUAUUCUGUAGCUCCGUUUUGAGCAGCUGAGCUAAAGCUGACUGAAAUUCGAGAGGCUUUACAACCAUUUUGACACAUUUGCUGAUAUUUCUGUAAUUCCUACCAAGUGGGAGAUAGUCAGAGAAAUGUUUUUCCCCUACUUGCUUGCUGGCACUUACAAGUCCCAGAGUCAGAGGACAAAUUGUAUACUAAGCAAAAAAAUCUACAGCAUUCAGCUUCGAGGGAGCAGGAAUGUGUUCACUAAAUUCAGCAGUAAACUGUCCUUUAGAAACUGCAUGUAAGCAGGAAUCAGCCGCUGGAGGUGGCUUUAUGAGAUGUGAUUACCACAAUCACUAAAGUUAAUCCUCUGGGGACUACGAAUAUCCACAGCAAGUUUUAUGACAAUCUAGUUAUUAGUUAUGCUGACACAAAGUCAAUAUUUUGACACAAGGGAAGCACAAAAGACAAACUGCACAAAACCAAUUAAAAUCCAAAAGAUUCUUUGUUGUAGUUUUGAUAUAGAUAUAUGUAGAACAACAAUGAAUAAUCAACAAAUCCACAACAAUUAAAAACAAUCUUUCAUGAUCAGAAUUCAUCCUCUGGGGACAAUGAAUAUCUACUACAAGUUUUACAGCAGACUGCCUGUAAAACUUGCCUCCGGUGGCCUCAGGAAGGCGCUAGAUGAAUGUUAGUGUAAUGACCAAACUUGAAAAGAGUCAGUCCUGUGAAGAACUGGAACUGAAAGGGAAAUGUCGGUUUCUCUGAGAUUAUAUGAGGUGAUUGUUUGUCGUUGUCUCUCCUACAGCAGAUAGUGGUUGGCAGACGAAGCGGAUGGGAAGACCAGCAUGGAGGCUAAGCAUUGACCUGCUGUGGAUGGGGUCUGCAGCAACAAGUAUUCUAGGGCCACCUUUCUGAUGAGGCACUGAUCAACCACAACAUCAUGACCACUGACAGGUGAAUUGAAUAACGUUCAUCAUAUUGAUACUAUGUGGUGUUCUGCAGGAAAACUUUGGAUUUUGGAAUCCGUGUUGAUGAGACUUAGACACCCAAAUAAACAUUGUCCCAGAUCAAGCACACUCUCUCAAGCAAAUGGCAAUCCUAAAUGUCACUGGCCUACCCCUGCAGGACAAUGCACCCCACCACAUCUCAAAAACAUCAAACAGUCAGGAACAUCUUGGGAACCAUGACAAUCACCCAAGAUGCCGCUUUGACCUCCAAACUUCCAAGACCCCAUUCUGACCAAGCAUCAACAGGAUGCAGUGGAACAAGUUUGAUUCCCAGAUGCCCAACUGCACAACCCAGAGUACCCAAAGGAUCCACUGCCAACGCUCUGGUGCCAGAUCCCAUAGGACACCCUGAGAAGUCCCCAUGUCCAGGCCCAAUGGUUCAGAGCACAUAAGGGAAACUAACACAAUAAUAGGCAGGUGGUCAUGAUGUUAUGCCUGAUCAGUGCAUGUGUCACUCUAAAGCCACUAAGAAUCCACUGACAAGAACAGUCAUUUUACCUCUCAUACAAUAGAAGUUUUCGGUCCACUGCCUCCACAAUUGGUAACUUUGUGUUAUUGUGCCACACAGCAGUAGACCAACAACUAUUUUACUCUGCAAGAUAAAAUUACUGUUUUUGUCAAUGGAGUGUGGUGGCAUUAAAGAAAGUAAUAGAACAGUAUCCCUGUUGGAAAGGGCUCUUUGAUGGAAAAGCAAAGUAGUGAAAAUAAUCUAAAUACAGCACACACUUAAAGCUGUGUUUCCUUUUCGCUGGGCUUCUUUUUAGGCAGCUGAUCCACAGCAGUUCAUUGCUUCACCUCUGUGCAGGUCCUCCUGUUUACUUUUAAUAUAUCGACUGUCAUCUAGUGUAGGCAACAUGCUGACUCAUGUAAUCCUGCUUUGAAGAAACCAAACUAUCCCUUUGAAGCAAAGAGUAAAUCCUAAAGAACUGCACAUUAGUUUUGAUUCUAACGACAUUUUGGGGGGAAAGCGACGCUAGGGGUGGUGAUCAUGGUGUCACUGUUUGGAUUAAUCCUCUGGGGACCACAAAUACCAGCAGCAUGUUUCAUAUAAGUUAUGGCUGACAGUAAUCCACAGUCAGAUCUGGGUAACAGGAAUAUAUUUUUUCAUUUAGCACACAAGAACAGCCAGCGAGCCGUCAACAUGCCUGUAAUGUUUCCCAGCUACUUUGAAGUGUCGAUGUAUUUGCUUUCAAAGAAAGGACAACUGUACAUUGUGAACGCCUCGUUGACAUCCGUUCUGAUCCAAAAACUUGCAUGGUUGUUAGCUGUUAUUCAAUAUCAUGUAUAGUAAGAAGUUUCUUGUUCAACUGCCAAUCAGAAUAUAAAGACACAACAUGCGGAGGAUUAAUCAAAGAAUAAAAUCUUCUUUAAAAUUCUAUAUUUUCACCAAUUUUUAAGGAGAUCCUGUAUAUUUACAUACAAAUUUCCUGAUGAAAUAAUGCUAAAUGAGAACAUACUGCAUAUGGACCCAACAAACUGAAAAAAAGUGAAUGCAAUGAUGACCAAUGCAUUUUACUGUGCUAGUUUUGAUAUACUGGAUUUCUCCUGUACUGGCUCCAGUGUUCAACUGGAGCUUUAUAGCGUGAAAAAAAAGUUCAUUUCAUUCCAGAAAAACACUGUUCCUGUUUGUUCACUAUGAAAGUCUAAUGUUCAAGAAUGCUCUGUAAUUGUGC
ensembl:lncRNA